AUAGCCGGUGACGCUCGACGUCUAAAGACAAACAACCGGGGGAAAUGACCUCUCCCCACCUCCCCCACCCCUCUCACUCGGACGGGUGAAUCACCCCAACCCGGCUGGCGCAUAUGCCAAUCCGUCGGGCACGCUUGCCCCCGACAACCCCAUAACGCAAUUCGGCCCUCGCUCGGGACGCCAAUCCCGCCGAGGGCCUGACCAAGAGAAGGCUAGAGCCCCUUCCC
rnacentral:ncRNA from 1 species